UGAGAGUGGGACCACUGUCGGAUGAUGGAGCAGUAUUUGAGGACUUUCACCUGAGCACCUCUCAACCACAAUGUUUAUGACACAGCACCAACAAGGAGUUAGUUGGCCCCAGAGCCUGCCUAUCAGGAGAAUUUGAACCUUUGGAUAACCAAGCUGUGAGGAAGCCCAAGCUAGCCAAAUGGAGAGACUGUAUGGAGAGAGAAAUACCUGGCUGGCCCUACUGUUCCAACUCCCAGACAAUCAAGUUAUCCCAG